rnacentral:rRNA from 1 species
UAGUCCACACCGUAAACGAUGAGAGCUAGUUGUCUGCAGGCAUGCCUGUAGGUGACGCAGCUAACGCAUUAAGCUCUCCGCCUGGGGAGUACGGUCGCAAGAUUAAAACUCAAAGAAAUUGACGGGGGCCCGCACAAGCGGUGGAGCAUGUGGUUUAAUUCGAAGUAACGCGCAGAACCUUACUACCCUUGACAUGCCUGGCUAUCCAGAGAGAUUUGGAGUUCCUUCGGGACCAGUGCACAGGUGCUGCAUGGCUGUCGUCAGCUCGUGUCGUGAGAUGUUGGGUUAAGUCCCGCAACGAGCGCAACCCUCGCCUUUAGUUGCCAUCAUUUAGUUGGGCACUCUAGAGGAACUGCCGGUGAUAAGCCGGAGGAAGGUGGGGGAUGACGUCAAGUCCUCAUGGCCCUUACGGGGUAGGGGCUACACACGUGCUACAAUGGCGGUGACAGAGGGAUAAUCCCUAAAAACCGUCUCAGUUCGGAUUGUCUUCUG